rnacentral:rRNA from 1 species
CUACGGAGGCAGCAGUGGGGAAUUUUCCGCAAUGGGCGAAAGCCUGACGCAGCAACGCCGCGUGAGUGAUGAAGGUCUUCGGAUCGUAAAGCUCUGUCGGCAGGAGAGACGGGUUGUAUGCAUAAUACGUAUGCAGCCUGACGGUACCUGCAAAGGAAGCACCGGCUAACUCUGUGCCAGCAGCCGCGGUAAGACAGAGGGUGCAAGCGUUGUUCGGAAUUAUUGGGCGUAAAGCGCGCGUAGGCGGUCGGGUAAGUCAAAUGUGAAAUCCCGUGGCUCAACCAUGGAAGUGCAUUCGAAACUGCCUGACUGGAGUAUCGGAGAGGGUGGUGGAAUUCCCAGUGUAGAAGUGAAAUUCGUAGAUAUUGGGAGGAACACCAGUGGCGAAGGCGACCACCUGGACGAUUACUGACGCUGAGGCGCGAGAGCGUGGGGAGCAAACAGGAUUAGAUACCCUGGUAGUCCACGCCGUAAACGAUGGGUACUAGGUGUUGCGGGUAUUGACCCCUGCAGUGCCGACGCUAACGCAAUAAGUACCCCGCCUGGGAAGUACGGCCGCAAGGCUAAAACUCAAAUGAAUUGACGG